rnacentral:lncRNA from 1 species
AACAACGCUAUGAACAACAAUAUGGAUUCUCAAAAACUAAACCCAUGUCCAACUUUCUCUUCAGCACCACCUGGUUUCCCAACUCCAAUACCCUUGUGUUGUGAUGAAACACCUCAAACAAAUCUAAACCCUCAAGGGAAGGGUAGCAUAUUCAUCCUCACAAUUCCUUAGUGACGAGGAAUAUGUAGGAGGGGUCCCAAAUGAACUCUUCCCAAUCAUCAUUGUUGCCACCAUGCCAAAACAUGAAGUCUCAAGAAUCCUGAUUGGUCGAUGGGGUUCUUUUGAAAAAAUUAACCUCCUUGAAGGUAAGGAAACAUGGACACUUAUUUGUGCGAAACCU